CCUACGGGUGGCAGCAGUGAGGAAUAUUGGUCAAUGGUCGGGAGACUGAACCAGCCAAGCCGCGUGAGGGAUGAAGGUACAGAGUAUCGUAAACCUCUUUUGUCAGGGAACAAAGGCGGGGACGUGUCCCCGGAUGAGUGUACCUGAAGAAAAAGCAUCGACUACCUCCGUGCCAGCAGCCGCGGUAAUACGGAGGAUGCGAGCGUUAUCCGGAUUUAUUGGGUUUAAAGGGUGCGCAGGCGGUCUGUUAAGUCAGCGGUAAAAGGCCGGGGCUAAACCCAGGCCUGCCGUUGAUACUGGCAGUCUUGAGUUGAAGAGAGGUAUGCGGAAUGCGCGGUGUAGCGGUGAAAUGCAUAGAUAUCGCGCAGAACUCCGAUUGCGAAGGCAGCAUGCCGGCUCCACACUGACGCUGAGGCACGAAAGCGUGGGUAUCGAACAGGAUUAGAUACCCUGGUAGUC
rnacentral:rRNA from 1 species